GGGCACGCCCAGCGUCGCCUACGGCUGCUUCCCGGUGAGCCCGAGCACGGCAGCGCCAGGCCGAUGCCCUCCCGGAGGCGCGGACGGGCUGACAGACGCGGCCCUGCGGGCUCCAGGCUCCCAAACCCCGGCUGAGGCCGCUGAUUCCAGCUGUGUUACCGUCGGGUUGGUGCGCAGUGCUGCGAUAGGAAGCUACCGGGAUAAAAGCGGGCGCUCCCCUGCCCUGGGGCAUCGCCUCAGCCCCGAGCAGCGCUUCCUCCUGGAACCCGGCCCUGUCCGGGUUGGGAUAUCACAGCAAAGAAAUCAGACGCCGCUCUCACCUCCACUACCCAUUACCUCCGCUACCCGUCACCUCCGCGCCCGUCGCAGUCGGUUUAUCAGCCACUGAUAAGCGCUUCCUGCGCACGUACAAAUAGAUGGCAAUUAUCCGUCACUGCAGGGCUGCAGGAGAUGGGCGGAUGGAACUCAGCUCAGCAACCAUCAGAUCCUUCGGAAUUGCUCUGGCAGAUGAGAUCCAGCUACUUCCGUAUUCUCCCUUAGAGGCUCCAGAGGAAGACACAAAGAUUUUGAUCUCUCGCACUUCCUACUUAAUGUUCCCGUUGACUGACAUUCCCAUUAUCCUCAAAGAGUAUCCUGUGAACUCCACAGAGUCUGUAGUUGCAAUGUUAUUUUGAACUAAGCUCCAAUUUGUGCUUUCCGUGGGAGAACACUUUCUUGCUUCACCCAGCAUUUCUCCUGUUUCUUUGAUGUAAGAGAUCCUUGCUUCCAGAGGGCAGCACCUGAAUUAGCCCCUCUGCACCCUGCAUCAAAUCUGAUGAGCAGCCCAAGCAAACCAAACCGCAGUCACGUGGAACAUUUGGCUCUGCUCUCCUGCAAGGAGUUUGAGGAGAUCCUUGCUCUGAGCACCAGUAUUCCCUGGCGAUGCCAUCACCAUCCUUCCAGCUUAGUUUCUUCACCCUUCCCUGUAAAUUCUAAAAUUACAGAAAGAAAGCAAACACUGGCUGCUGAAAGAUAUUAUUCUCAUUUCUACAAGGCUUAUCUUCUGGCCCUCUAUAAUACCUUGGCAACCCCACAGAGGAUUCUGGUCCGGUUAUUUUUCCCAGAAUCAAGGCCUGGCUUCAUGCCACACUGAAGCAAGAAGUAUUCCCAUGAUGCUAAGGUGAUCUGAGCUGAUAAAGCAGCAGCCACUUUUCGUCCUUCCAAACACAACCCUUGAAUAGGAGGCAAAGCUUUCGAUGCGGGUAUACUCACAGUCAGCACUCAAAGGUGAGGCACCCUUAAGAUUUAUGCACUUUAUUGAAACAAACAGGAAACUGGGAAAUACUUUUUAACCACUGAGAGAUUACAGCAUUGCAAAUCAGAAGGGCAGAUCUCUGCUGCUACCUUUAAGCAGAAAUACACUACAGCAAAAAUACACUAUUAACCAUUUGUUUCAUUCAUGGCUAAUAGGCUUCACAUAGUUAACUCCCUGCCUACUCCUCUGGUUUACAUCCCUGCAUAAAAGCAGCUCCUGCUAUUUCCAGGCCUUAGGACGUAUGUUCACCUGUAAGUUAAAGGCUCAUCUUAUGCAUUUUUAUGCUGAAGAUAUUAAAAAGGGUGAGGGAAAGUCUGUUUGCAGGUACUGAUAAUGUUUGCAUGAGAACUCGAUGACCAGUGAGACAAACACACCAGCCAAAUUCGGGCACCUCUCGAGUUUCAAUUGUUUCAUUAGAGCAGGAGUUACCACACGGAGUCCAUUCCUCAGCAGGUGAGUAAGCAGCCCCCACAGCAGUCCCGUUUUGCUGGCUCCAGUGACGGAUUUUGUUCUCUUUGCCCUGCACAGGAGCAACACAGACUGCUCUGUGAGGACUGCUUUCCUGGAACAGCAGCAGCAGUGCACUGUCAGACCAAAGCUUUUCUCCUGUGAUGCAACAUUUCUAAGAAGUUCCUUUCGCCUCUCGGAUGGGAGCAGCCAGUCAUUCACUCCAACUCUUAAUUGCUGCUCUGCAAAAUCCCCAAAAGGAAUGUAACAACUUGUUUCUCACUGUGAAAAUGGGAGGUUCUCCACUGCAAGCUUUAAGCCUUCGGCUGAAUACCUGCUGAACAUCUGGCUUGGGAUCAAGGUUUGCUUUUAUGGUUGUCCAUGCCCUGCUACAACGGGUGGACACAUUGCUAGAUUAAUACUACCAACAGAAGCGGGGUGGAUAGACUCCCUUCCUUCCUCCUCUUACCCCCAGUAAAUGCAGCAGCUGCAGCCUGACAGAACACGCCAGUCUUUCAGAAAGACUCAAAUACCACAAGAAAAAGCCUCAAGCACAGCAUGGCCCCAUGGAAAGCAGAGAAAGGCUGCUGCGAGCAGCAUGGGACACGUGCCCCAGGAUGCACAGCUCAUGAGUGAGCAUACAUGUGCACGUGGGAAGCAUCUCUAAUCCCCUGAAUACUAAACGUGAACCCCUUUUAUCUGGUAUAUGCUUUGAUUUUCUUCCUAAGAAAUAGCAAGCAUGUAUGUUUGGCAUAAGAAAGCUUUCAUCAUGCGAGAUCCCCAAAGCACGCAAAAUGACGGUCCAGGCAUGCUAACUGCACCACAGGGCAAAUUUCUCUUUUCCAAACCUCAGCAAAAUUCAUACAUUCCUUCUAAAUCCAGUUGCAAACCGCUAUCCUGAAGGCACUAAUACUGAAUGCAGGUAUUGAUAGUGCCAAGCAGUAAAUCUGCACCCAUAAGGAGCACGUAGUUCAACCAGAGCCCACAGCAAGGGGAAGGUAACCAACCGACCAAAGGAAAAAGGAUGCACCUAGAGCAAACAAUUGCAAACCUUGUAGGGAGACACAGAUUAGCAGUCUAAUUAGAACCACCAGAUAACCACAUGUAAAAUAGGGUUUUUAGUGCAUUUUCAAAGCACUGUGACCGGAAGACACGUUACAUCCAUCUAAAAGGAUGAAUUCUGCUCUAGGCACUCCAGUGUUAAUGUACUGCAACUCCAGUGACUUCAAAGGGGUUGCUGCAGAUAUAAAGCAGUGUAGCCAGAAGCACUGGCUGGUAGCCUGCAUAAACAAGCAAAAAAGAUUUUCAUUUUUUAAGAAGCCAUAAAAAAUAGUUCAAGCUAAUUACGUGACAGGGGCCUGGGUGUGAAAUAGCAACUGCAAAGCCCCGGGGAUCAAGACAGGAACCUUUGAUUUGCUCUCUUCAGCUUAUAAAGUCUUCUGAAUACUUUUGCUCUAACAGCUUUUCUUCUUCCCAUUGCAAGCUGCACACAUUACUCUGAUGCUGCUCUCCAGAGGCCCCCACCAUUGCUCUGUACUAAAUCUCAAUCCUUUGUCUUACAAUCUGAGGCUGAUUUCAGGUUGCAGAGCUAAACCAGCAGCUGUCUCCAAGCAGAAAGCCCAUUUCGUGUUCACCUUAUGGAGCAGCAGCGUUAGAGCAGCUGAAAUCACAACCACCCCAUGAGCAAAGUUUCAAACCUCUCUGAAAGUCCCUGAAGUUGAAAUAUUAAUCUGGAAAGCACUGAAUGUGUGUUUCUGAAGCUCAGUUUGGAAUGAGAAACAAAAGUUCUGGAGCCUGUGGGCUGACACCGUGUCUACUCGGUAUUAAAAUGCAGAGCAGAAUCUAAGCUGUCUCUGCAGAAAAACAACUGAGAAACAAAUAUCUGUGUUAUGUAUGAUAACUGAGCCCUCCUAGGAAGGCACUGCUAGCAGCUCUGCUCCCUCACCCGCCUGACGUGCCGACACACCCAGGCUAGACAGUAAAUUUAUUCAACCACAUUCAUUUCUCCUGGUCCUUAAGUCACAAGUGGUGAAAUCUCAUUCAUUUAUGCAAGCAACUGGAAGAUUUAUUGUAAAUAAAAGUUCUGCACAUUACACAACUGGCUCAAAAUCAUAAUUAGAGUUGCACUGGGAAACAUGUUUUAUUUAUUCUGACAGUAGUCUGGCUUCAAUAAUCGUAGCAUGAUAAAUGCUCCUGAAGUUUGCAGAGUUUCAGCAACUACAGAGCUUAUCACAGACGUGGAAGUGAAAACAUCUGAAUAGGUUUGAUGUGGCUUACAAGAGGUCCUGAGCAGUUCUGUUGCAUAGCAUCAUUUUACAUCAGCACCAGGCUACCAAGAGCUGGUGGGAGUGUCCUCCUUCACUGUAAAUCAAAGAAAUGAGAUGUUCUGCUGCUUCUAAACUUCCGAGAUCUCCUCCCAAAAGCUGGGCCAUGUCUGCACGAAUUAGUGUGGUUCUGCAGUGGGGAGAAAUGACAGUCGGAUUGCUGAGCCGACAGACCCUCUGGAAAAGGGUCAGUGACACCAUUAAUAGGAUGCAGAUUCCCCAUCUCUAGCUGUUCUGCACCCUGCCAAGAGUUCUAGUGCUUUCUUCCUUUAUAGUUUUAAGCACAAUUUCAGGCCCAUAAAACAUCAGAGAAGACAGAAGCUCUUAUCCCAGCCCUGGCGGGCCACGCACGCUGCGAAUACCUUGAACGAAUGAUGCUGAGCUCUCACCGGUCCCCAUCUGUUCAAGGGUAUUUUAAAACAUACCAAAUCAGGUUUACCCCGAUAGCAUUUACUGCUGCUCUGAGACUAAUAAAUGGCUCUGAGUGCAAUCAAACAUUUAUCUGGCUUUGUUCGUUCUUGAAGAAGAGAGGAGCCCAGUCUCCUUGCUCCUCGGGCAGAGCAUCCUCAGCUGCACUUGCUCCAGCCCAGCCACAGAGCAAGAUCGCCUCAACACUCACCAAGAGCCCGAUCCAGCUGUCAAGUUCUUUCAAUACAGAGAAUCAAAGCAGUUUAUUUUCAGAAUACCACAGAGGUUAUGUAUGGGACGGCCCAGAGCCACAGCUAUGUACUUCACAGGAGUAAAACAAACUCUACUAUCAGUACACACGGUAGCCACUUUCACAAAUACUUUAGCCAGCCUGUGCUAAAGUUAGAGCAGCUUUCAGGUCACGUUACAAAAAACCAUUGUUUAUGUUGCUAUAAAAAGAACUUCCUGGUAGCCAGGAGGGUGGCACCCAGCAGCACAUUGCUGCAAGUCCCAGGGAGAGAGCGUGGAAACCUUUCCCAGCACCCACUCUGCAGUGCCCACGGAUGGCAGUGGUGGCACCAGAACUUGCUUGCUGUCUGCCAAGACUGUCCUUCAGUGUUCCUAGCUCCUAU